GAUGAACGCUGGCGGCGUGCCUAAUACAUGCAAGUCGAGCGAACGGAUGAGAAGCUUGCUUCUCUGAUGUUAGCGGCGGACGGGUGAGUAACACGUGGAUAACCUACCUAUAAGACUGGGAUAACUUCGGGAAACCGUAGCUAAUACCGGAUAAUAUUUUGAACCGCAUGGUUCAAAAGUGAAAGACGGUCUUGCUGUCACUUAUAGAUGGAUCCGCGCUGCAUUAGCUAGUUGGUAAGGUAACGGCUUACCAAGGCAACGAUGCAUAGCCGACCUGAGAGGGUGAUCGGCCACACUGGAACUGAGACACGGUCCAGACUCCUACGGGAGGCAGCAGUAGGGAAUCUUCCGCAAAGGGCGAAAGCCUGACGGAGCAACGCCGCGUGAGUGAUGAAGGUCUUCGGAUCGUAAAACUCUGUUAUUAGGGAAGAACAUAUGUGUAAGUAACUGUGCACAUCUUGACGGUACCUAAUCAGAAAGCCACGGCUAACUACGUG
rnacentral:rRNA from 1 species